GGGGCCGCACAAGCGGCGGAGCAUGCGGAUUAAUUCGAUGCAACGCGAAGAACCUUACCAAGGCUUGACAUACACCGGUAACGCCCAGAGAUGGGUGCCCCUUUGUGGUCGGUGGACAGGUGGUGCAUGGUUGUCGUCAGCUCGUGUCGUGAGAUGUUGGGUUAAGUCCCGCAACGAGCGCAACCCUCGUCCUAUGUUGCCAGCGGGUCAUGCCGGGGACUCAUGGGAGACUGCCGGGGUCAACUCGGAGGAAGGUGGGGAUGACGUCAAAUCAUCAUGCCCCUUAUGUCUUGGGCUUCACGCAUGCUACAAUGGCCGGUACAAAGGGCUGCGAUACCGCGAGGUGGAGCGAAUCCCAGAAAGCCGGUCUCAGUUCGGAUUGGGGUCUGCAACUCGACCCCAUGAAGUCGGAGUCGCUAGUAAUCGCAGAUCAGCAACGCUGCGGUGAAUACGUUCCCGGGCCUU
rnacentral:rRNA from 1 species